CGCACAACGGGAACGCGCAGGGAGCGACGUCGCUUCACAAACAGGAGGGGGCGCUUUAACACUGAAGGCUGCUUUUGUGAACACAGGUAGCUCAGACGGACUUGUUCCACAGUAACAGAUCACAGGAUUCAUGUUCUGGAAGUUGUUCAUGGCCAUUCAUCAGCACAGACAUGAACCUAUCUGAAGAGGCUCUGACCUCCACUUACCCAGGAUAAUUAACUUCCAGGAGGAGUGUUUACAGACAUGUGACAAAGGAGAUGUUUGCACCUUUCUGCUGCUGCUGGAGAGAAAACACAGUUGAGACAGAGCUCUCCAGAUGAGCUGUGUGAAUCACAUGUGUCAGCUCUGUAUUCAGUGCUCAUGAGUCUCUCCAUGCACCCUGCCUGCUUGCCUAUGCAGAGCGGCACAGAUGGGCGUGUUGGGGGAUGGGUGCUGUCAGCUCACAGAUCAAGCUGUGGGUCGGUGGUCCCAUUGCUAUUCACCACAUAAGCACGUAGGGCAUGUCAGACACGCUCCAUGGAGACAUACCAGGGGUGGAGAUUGUGUUUUGGUUUUAAUGCUGCUGCAGUGACCACCACAUGGGUUAGGAAUAUUAACAGAGGAACCGGCUUUCUGCUGAGGACAUCAGAGAGAAACACUCUGCAAUGGGGCAAAUAUUCUGCUGAUAAAGCAUAUUAAAUAUUUGACACACUUACAGUUCUUCUCUUUCAACUGCACAUUUUAGGAGUUACCCAUAAGU